CCGGACAUGAUGGUGGUGACCUGUGACGUAGAAUCUCUAUAUACGUCGAUUCGACACACAGAUGGAAUGGAGGCAGUGAAGGGGUUCUUUCAGAUGUCAGAAUUUGAGGAAUCUAUAGAAAACCAACUUCUACAAAUGCCCUCCUUCAUGCCAACUCUUCCCAUCCAACCAAACUAAUACAGAGUAUUCCGACCGGGCAGUUCCUACGAAUUCGCCGGAUCUGCUCCACCAUGGAAACAUUUGAAUGUAGAGCCAAAGAAUUAAGUAUGAGAUUUAGAGAGCGAGGCUACAACGAAAGAUGCAUCAGGAAGGCAUACAAACGGGCCAAAUAUACGAAUCGUGACCUUCUCCUCCAGACCAAAACCCCAAAAGGACGGGACAACCAGGCCUCACUUCAAGAGAAUUGAAGAGAAGGGUGCGUGAGCAUGUCUUGGGGAUUAUAUCAGCCAAAGAAGAAGAAGAUCUAUCUAGACUUACUACAAUUCCACGCCAUUUCAAACUUCAGCAUUCAUGUGAUCCCACAAAUCUACAGGUAAGAGGCAUAGACAGGAUUUUUCUAAGCCCUCGUGGAGGAAACUGGAAAAAACUUCUAGCCCAAAGAGAAACACAGUGGAUCCACCGCUUGAAAACUUUACAUCCACUUGGUUUGAAUGAGAAUUUGUCCUUUGCUCCAUUUUUAUAAUACCUGAUUCCAUCCUCCUUCAUGCGCUUGUUGAAUUUAUUACUCUUAUAUUUCUCUUGAUCGGAUACCUCUAGUGUUGUGACUAACCGUUAGGUUGUUCACUUUUUAAUUUAUAUUAUCUGUUUUUAAUUUUUCUUUCCUUUCUUCUUUUGUUUAGUUUUGAGAGUUGGAAGCCUGUCUUGAAUAACCGUUCUUUGGGAAUCCUGUUCAUGUUUUGUCCAUCAUGAUCGCAUACAUCCAUUUUUUCCCCUUCCCCCUUCCCGUUCUUCCAUCCCCCCUUUUCUCCCCCUUUCCCCCCCCCCUCUUUUUGAACAUUGUUUUAUAAUAUCUCUGAAGG